rnacentral:lncRNA from 1 species
GGGGCGGUGUCCGCCUCCACCUGGACCCGGAGGAGCCUCAGGUGAGACCCGAAGGUCCCCGGACAAAGAGGUGAUUUGGACCGCACCUCUAAAGCCUGGGAAAGAGUGAAGACAGUGCGUGACAGGCUUUUGAUCCCCGCCUCGCCUGCCCCCAAGUCACUGAAUGGCCGAAAGCACCCCGAAAAGAGUGUGGGUGGGAAAUGACUCCUGUCCAGCUGGGACUGCUAGGGCUGAAUGAAUAACGAAGGUGACAACUGGCGGUUUAAUAUGCUUGGCGGUGAAGGUGGAGAAUGCUGCGGGAUCUGAACCCCAGAUUUGCUACUUAGCCAGAGCGGAGUGCCCUAAAUGCUGAUGUUGGAGAGCCCAAGCAGGGCUGGUCCUGGGAGGUAGAUGCUUCUCGGGACAUCUGGGUCCCAUUCCACUGGAGGAGUCAAGUUCCUGCCAUGCUGCCCAGUCCUCUUUGCUCCGAGUUACAGAGCAGGCAUAACAGUUUCAGAAAGCAAACUCUAAAGUCUAGUUGACGCAUAGGGAAAUGACUUGGCAGGCAGCCACAAGACAGAGCUUCCAGCCCUGCCACUGCCAUGCUGUCUGACAGCUGAGAAACUCCUGUUUCAUCCAGCUCUGCAAAUUUAUUUGAUUUCGAAGUUCACAUUUAUUGAAGGAGGAAGCCCUUGGAACAGGAUAUAAAAGCAACACUUUCCACUGAGCCUGACAUCCUGCUUCCAGAUGCAAGUGGCUGAGCAAGCCCUGGAGGAACCUCUAAGCAGCUGCGACCAUGCUGCUCCAACUUCAAAACCUGAAUUCAACAAUUUCCACACUCAGCCCUCGCUCACCUCUCUGCUUCCUUGUCCAGACCCUCAAAACGAUCUGAAUAAUUUAUUACACUUUUAUCAGUCUUCUCCACUAACAGCUGGCACUUUGGAAGGCAAGGACCUUGCCUUAUUAGUCCUUGUGAUCUGGUAUCUGCUCCUAGGAAGAACUCAACCUAUGUUGGGUGGGAUGAAUUUUUGAAGAAGUUAUUGAGUUGUCAGGUCCAUGAUGGAGCAAAAUGACACAAAUGACCAUCCUCAGCUGGAGGCUUGCUGGUCACCCAUCCAGGAGGAUGCUUUGCACAGCUUCUAAGACUGCAGAGAGUCCCCAUGAACAAGAAGGCCCUCACCAGGUGCAGCUCUCUGACCUCGGACUUCCCAGCCUCUGGAACUGAUAUAUGGUAGCUACAUAUCCCAGAAUGGACAAGAUGGAAUCAUGGAGGAUCAAAGGACAUGAAUGGUCACAUGUCAAAUCCCAUGACACAGCACAACCUCAGUCUCAAGUUGAGUAAUAGCCUGUUUGGAUAAACUGGUCAGUGAGACUCCUCAUGUAUCUGGCUUAAAAAAUACAUUUCCAGCACUUAUGAGCCUGACGCAGAAGAACCACAAGUUCACAUCAGCCUAGCUUACAUGGUGAGUUCCAGGCCAGCCUGGACAAUAUACAGAACAAACCCUGUCUCAAAAAAAAAUUUUUUUUUUUCCUUCACGCAGUAGCAUUGUCUCCAAGUCCCCAUGUCUCAAUGUUUCUGUGUGGCACCAGUUGAGCCUGAGCCCAGAAAAGCUUUACCACAUUUACAGGCAAAAAGUGCCAUAAUGAAGUUGAAGGAGGCAUUGAGCUAAGGGGCACUGCAGGCUGCAGCAUUUAUCACAUGCAUAUCGUGGCGGGGAAGCAAAGACAAAAGACACAGUCACGACAAAAAGUGAGUCUGAUGGGUGGAGAGCCAAGACCCACGUCCAGAACAACAAACCAACACAGGGACAAGGGCUCGCCACAGGCUUUCAGGGCAAGUUGAACUCUAAUCCCAAACUAUAUGCCCUGGACAUUUUACCAAAGUCUUCUUUGUCUUAAUUUCCUUAUAAAGCUGUCACUUGGUAUCCUUGGAGGAUUGGUUCUGGGACCCCCCUGAGGAUACCAAAAUCUUCCAAUGUUCAAGUCCCUUACAUAAAAUGCCACAGUCCUUGCAUAUAACCUAUACAAUUCUCUCCUAUACUUUAAAUCAUCUCAUAUUACUUUCAAUAUGUAAUAUGAUGUAAAUAGUUGUUAUACUGCAUUAUUUAGGGAGUCAUUACAAAAGUCCAUAUAUGUUCAGUUGCUGAUGCAAUUUUUCUCCUGAAUAUUUUUGAGAUGCAUUUGCUUGGAUCUGUGGAUUUGUAACCUGAGGAUACUGAGGGCAGACUGCAUAUAAUAGUCCAUCCUUAUUGGUGGUUUCAGUAACGUGAGGUCAACCACUAUCGGAAAAUAUUAAAUGGAAAUUGCCAAAGUAAACAAUUCAUAAGCCAGAUACAGUGCUGCAUGCCUGUAAUCCCAGCUAUGCAUAAGUCUGAGGCAGGAGAAUGGCAAGUUUGAGGAGAAUCUUGACAAUUUAGCAAGGCUGCUUCAAAAUAAAAAAUAAAAAGAGCUAGAGAUGUGGCUCACUGUGGGGCCUUGGGUUAAAAGCCCAGUACUGCAAAACAGCAAAAAUUAAUAAGGUUUUUUUGUUUUUGACAUGGUCUUGCUAGCCGUUUGGGCUGGCCUCAAACUUUUGAUCCUCCUGCCUCAGGCUUUCAGGUAGCUGGGAUUAUAGGAAUGUGCCAAUAUACUUGGCCAAUUCAUAGGCUUUAAAUGAUUUUGAUUACAGUACAUUAUUAUAAUUGUUCUAUUUUAUUAUUAGAUUUUUCUUCAGUGUGGGGGAUGGAACCUAGGCUCUUGCAGUGUUAGACAUGUACUCUACCACAGAGCUACAUCUCCAGCCCCUUAUUAGCUGUUGUUAUUGACUUGUCAUUGUGCCCAACCAAACUCUAUUAUAUGUAUGUAUGUAUGUGUGUGUGUAGAGAAAAAACACAUGGUAUAAAGGGGUUCAGAACUGGCCAUGGUUUCAGGUCUCCUUGAAAUAUCUUGGAAUAUACCUUGAUUUACUACUAUAAAUGAAAUGGAGUGGUAAUCAUCACAGUACCCAUUUCGUAGGCCAUCAUGAGGACAGCAUGCAAUAACGUAUAUGAAGCACUUUGGACAGUUUUGCCACAUUGUCAGUGUUCAUUGCUGCACUGACUAUAUUGUUAAAUGAAAUAGUACUUAUAAAAUGCCACACAGAAAUGGAUGUGGCGGUAUAUACUUAUAAUUCAAAAUUCCAGGACUCAGGAGGCUGAAGCAGAAGGAAUGCAAGUUCAAGGCCAACCUGGCCAAUUUAGUGAGAACUUGGUCCUCCCAAAACAAAACAAAACAAAAAAGUCCUGAGCAAUGCCUAGCACUAUCAAACGUUCAGUAUUGUUAACUGGCAGUACUGUUAUUACUUUUAUUAUUUAAAUUCUGAAUCUAUUGUUGCAUAACAAAUAACUUCAACACUUAGCAUUUAAUACAAUAAUAAACAUUUAUUAUCUCACAUAGAUCCUAUGGAUCAAGAAUUUGGGAAAAACUUCCAGCUUCAUGGUUCUAGCCCAGGAUCUCUCAUGAGAUUACAAACUAUUGCCUGAAGCCUGCCUAGAGCUUGACUAGGCUCUGCCUCUGAGGUGGCUUGCUCACAUGGCUGCCACCUCUUUGCUAGCUAUCGGCCCAAGGCCUCAAUUCUUCACCACAUAGUCCCUGCAGAGGACUGCUUGAGUAUCCUUACAACAUGGCAGCUGACUUCUUCCAAGGCAAGUGGUCUAAGAGAGCAAGGCAGAAGCCACAAUGUCUCUUAAGAGCUACACCCAGAAGUCACAUUGCAUAUCACAGUAUCCUUCCUGGCUACACAAGUCUGUGCUGUCUUUGGGGGAGGAGCUACCGAAGCGCAUGAAUACCAGGCUGAGAGUCUAACUGGGUGCCAUUUUGCAGGCUGGCUACCGGAAGUACUAAAUUAUGUGACAGAGACAUGAGUUCUACAGGAACUCAGGUUCAGAUAAGAGGGAGACUAAUGAAGGUCAGAGUGCUAGGGAAUGUUCUGAUCACUCUUAGGUAGAUUUGAAUGAUAGCCUUUACCAUUUCUUUCUCAUCUUCCCUCAGUACGACUUGGAAAGAGAGGAAAGUAGGACUUUCACAAUCAGAAGGGUGAGAGGAAGCAAGAAAGCACAAGGAGACCUUUACAGAGGUGACAGGGCCUAUGUGGGGGUUGGUAGAGUACACUGACACUGGAAGGAAACAAAGUUUAUAAAUAAAUUGAAAGAUGCAGUGAGGCUGCUCAAGGAGGGCCGGGAAAGCCAAGUAAACAUGCUUAAACUAGCCAAAGUAAAAAGUAAAUGUUAAGGGCAUAGGCUUUGGCUAAAAGCAUGUUCAAAAUUCCUGCAGUCUUAUUUAAUAUGGGGGGAUUCAAGACUGGGUAGUGGAUUUAGAGAGUGUAAAAGAAAUUCUCCUCAAAGGGACAUUUGCUUCCACAGGAGCACAUCCUGGUGGGGUCAAGGCAAUACCAGGAAACGUACUUUAAUAGUUUCCUUAUAUCAGAGUAGGAAGCUCAAGUUGAUAAGAAGUUGGAAUCCAGCCUCCCAGUUGGAGGAGCCUCCCCAGGGGAAACCGUUGGAGUGGGAGAUAGUCUGUGUUUACACAGCAUGCCUUCUAUGUCUGCAGUUUACACAAACUGUAUCUUCUGGCCAGGCUGAAGAUAGAACCGCCUGACCUAGAAAAGCCCCAGUCUGGGCUCAGUGCCCAGCUAGCGCCGGGAGGAGCUCCCGCCCAGACCCACCCAGAUCCAAGCUCCUUGGACACACGGGGGUGGAGGCCACCCUGCACAAUGCAGACCUCACACGGAGGAUCCCACUCUGCAGCCAGGCAGAGCCUAGUCGAGGCUUGAGUAUCCUCCUCACGUCCUGCAGGGGGAACUACCUGUUCCGGUUCGUCUAGUUCAGAGCUGAGAGUGACACUUUCACUGGUAGACCACUUGCCCGGCACGUUCGAGGCCAAGCUAAAUCCUUGGGUUUGACCCUAGCACUUCAAAUUUUUACUAAAUAUUCUACUUCACUCUUAUUAGCAGGAGGGCAUACAUCACACCGCUAGCAUGACUUUGGCUCAUUCCUCAAAGCAACGAUAAAACCUAACGUUUGCAGGUUAGUGUGGGUUCACUAAGUGGUCCCAAAAGGACCCUUGGCGGUUUGCAGAUCGUGCUGCUGAAGAAGGUGGCAGGAGUCAGGCAUUUAUGGGUUUAAAUCAGCACUGUCCCUCGAGAGGGAGACCUUGGACACAUACGUUUUUACUGCUCAAAGCUUCAGUUUCCCUAUCUGGGAAAUGGGGAGAAGGCAACAGCCGAGAGGCUCUUUGACGGUGCCCAGCAAGUGCUCAAUAGACAACCACCCUCCUCACCCCAUUAUUCCAUUAUAUCCCAGGCCCCCUUGUCUUCACCUCAUGUUGUUACCCAGCCCCAGAUUUCCCUUAUUUUUUGUCCUCUUAAAAAUCCCCAGCCCCUGGCUGGCUGAGAGGUUUUGGCCUUGGGCAGCUGUACCUGCCUCCAACAUGGCACACAGCAUUUUGCUCAGUAGUAGCUGGUCAGUGCACCCACUGGGCACUCCCCUUAAUCUCUUUCCCCUGCUACUACCAGCACCUUGCCCAGUGCAAGCACACCUGUCUCCUCCUGCAGGGCAGCACUGGUCUUACUGGAGAAGGCACCAUCCGAGGUCAGUCCCCAGCUGUGCCUGUGGAGUCCCUGGGACACUUGGUGGACAAAGAGAUGGGAUCUCAGAGGCCUGGGGCAGGGAGGAGGAGAGAGGCCAAGGAGGAGAGAGCAGAGCCUCCCUCCUAGUCACAGCAAAGCCAGAAUUCACCUGGGAAGGAAUGCUUUCCCCAGGGAAGAAGUUAGGGGUAAGGAAAAGCUAGCCAGGCAUCUGAGGGCUUCCCUCCUAGCCCUUCCCACGACUUCUCAGAAUGGAGUCGCUUAAUGUGGCUCCAGCCCAGACUCAGGAUCUGAAAGAGUUCCCUGGAACUAAGGAGUGUCCUUCACAAACUCACACUAGGACAAAGUCCCUGAUUACCCUUGAGAUUCAAAGGGUUGGGCUAGAGUUAUAAAUUACACCUUUGUUUAGAAAAAAAAUUCAGACUCCAGGGCCUGAGUUCAGCGUUUUAAACAGCUUAGUGUUGAUCACCUCCCAGGCACACAGCCCUAGAGGCCACCUCGGCCUGUUCUCUAUCCUCUCUGAAGGAACCUGACUGGCUGCUAAAUCCUCCGGGGUUUGGCUUUGUGAAGUCUUCACAUUUGCUGUCACACCAGCCAGCCACUCUUGGCACACCUGUGUCACCAUAACUGCUGUGUCUGUUCCCUCGGGCUGGUGUCUCUCUUCUCUCAGUCCUCAUAGACACCGGUACCAGAGGAUUCCCCCUAAAACAGUGCACUAUGACCCAAUCCCUGCUCCAAAAAUACCUCAAUAUUAGCAACAGAGUAAAAUCCCAACAUGCUAAUCUGGUAUCCAAAUUCUUCCCAAUCUGAUUACACCCUACCCCUUCAGCCUCUCCUAUGGUCAUACCUUGGUCUUUUUCAGCUUCAGGACCUCUUAAACCCUGUACGUGCUGCAUUCUGAUGAGAAAAAAAAUGCUUCAGCACUGUAGCAAACCCCCCACUUACUCAUUACUGUCUUGUACUUGCGCAUUUUAAGAGCUAAUCAUGGGACACAAAAAAGUUGAGAGCAAUACCACUAAGCCCAAAAGGCUUAUAUUAGUCCAAUAAAAGGCCAUUAGCCCAGUAAAAUGUGAAAGCUCUGGAGAACUUUCACAAAUUAUUUCUAAUUACAUUAUUUCUUAUGGGAAAAAUUUGUUCAGUACUCAGUUUCAGCACUCUUCACUGGUUCCAGAACAAAUGAACAAGUACCGAGGCAUGACUUUGUCGUUGGUUCUGAGCAAACUGGCUUCCAUGUUCUUGGGCACAUGCUGGCUCUCGGGCUGCUCCAUCUGCCUGGAAAGCCAUGCCUCUGUCCACUUGCUGGAGGCUCCUGGCCACUUCCCAUGGAUCAGCCCAUUCUGUGGAAAUGGCCACAAGCUCCGGGCAACUAUUGCAUGUGUCAAACAUGGCCACUGUCACUGAGGAACUGAAUUUUGUAUUUUGUUAUCCAUUUUAAUUUGAAGACUAAUACUCAACUCAGUUACUAGAAAAUGUUUAAGUACAUUUGGAACAAUUUGGUUUUGUAAAUCUACUUUUUCAACUGUAAAUUGUUUGUAUGUGUGCCUGUGUAUGGCACUGAGGAUUGAAUCCAGGUCCUCAUGAAUGCUAAGCAAGUGUUCUACCAUUGCGCUACAUCUGCAGCCCUUUUUAUUUUGAGACAUAGUCUCAUGAAGUUGCCCAGGCUGGACCUUGUGAUCCUCUUGCCUCAGCCUCCAAGUAGCUGUAAUUACAGGUGUACUGCUUUGACUAAGUUCUAGGAAAUCUAAGUACAGUUUAAGUAUUUCUGAUAAAAAGC